UAUUACCUGCUGAGAAAUCCUGCAUGCUUAAAGAUGCGUUCCUUGCUCGUGGUGCUAGAUUUAUCUAUUGUUUUUAACAUUAUUUUUUUAUUAUUUAUUUAUUUCUUAGCAGACGCCCUUAUGCAGGGCGACUUACAAUUGUUACAAGAUAUCACAUUAUUUUUCCAUACAAUUACCCAUUUACACAGUUGUGUUUUUACUGGAGCAAUCUAGGUAAAGUACCUUGCUCAAGCGUACAGCAGCAGUGUCCCCCACCUGGGAUUGAACCCACAACCCCCCGGUCAAGAGUCCAGAGCCCUAACCACUACUCCACACUUAAAGAACAUGGCCAGUUCUUUUUCAUAAAGCUUCAGUAGCAGAAGACCUGCAAUGGACAGAGCUGGAUAACUGCAGACACUCCCCCUCUCCAGAACACCCACAGAUGUGUGCCAGCUCUCCCCGGUGCCAGGGUCCGCACGAGGGUGCUGGCAGCUCCUCCUCAUGGCUGUGUGGAAGACCAACGGCAUCCCACAGAGGAAGGAAAAGGAAGGCUGUUGUGGAAAGCGAGUUGACCAGCUACCUCCGAGAGACACAUGAGAGAUAUUUCAAAUUGCAAGAGGAAGAUUUGGAAUUAGCAAGGGAUCGGCGCAGGAAUGCAAGAGAAACACAAAGACAGAGAAGCGAAGCGGCACAACGCCACAUUGUUGAGAGGGGUUUUGUCCAGUCUGGCAACAUCACUGGGGCAAAACCUGGCUAAGAACUAAAAUCCCUCUAACUACAAACACAAUGUGGCACUAUAUUUAAAUAGUUAGCUUGAUUGUUUGUUAAAUGCAACAUUGCCAAUUUUAAAGUUACUUGUAAUAAAAGUGUUUUGUUCUGGCUAUUUGU